rnacentral:rRNA from 1 species
AUUGAACGCUGGCGGCAGGCCUAACACAUGCAAGUCGAACGAGCGGCGGACGGGUGAGGAAUGUCUGGGAAACUGCCCGAUGGAGGGGGAUAACUACUGGAAACGGUAGCCAAUAACGCAUACCAUCGGAUGUGCCCCGAUGGGAUUAGCUUGUGGGUGGGGUAACGGCUCACCUAGGGGACGAUCCCUAGCUGGUCUGAGAGGCUUACCAUCCACACUGGAACUGAUACACGGUCCAGACUCCUACGGGAGGCAGCAGUGGGGAAUAUUGCACAAUGGGCGCAAGCCUGAUGCAGCCAUGCCGCGUGUAUGAAGAAGGCCUUCGGGUUGUAAAGUACUUUCAGCGGGGAGGCGUUACCCGCAGAAGAAGCACCGGCUAACUCCGUGCCAGCCGCCGCGGUAAUAC